UAGGGAAUCUUCGGCAAUGGACGGAAGUCUGACCGAGCAACGCCGCGUGAGUGAAGAAGGUUUUCGGAUCGUAAAGCUCUGUUGUAAGAGAAGAACGAGUGUGAGAGUGGAAAGUUCACACUGUGACGGUAUCUUACCAGAAAGGGACGGCUAACUACGUGCCAGCAGCCGCGGUAAUACGUAGGUCCCGAGCGUUAUCCGGAUUUAUUGGGCGUAAAGCGAGCGCAGGCGGUUAGAUAAGUCUGAAGUUAAAGGCUGUGGCUUAACCAUAGUACGCUUUGGAAACUGUUUAACUUGAGUGCAAGAGGGGAGAGUGGAAUUCCAUGUGUAGCGGUGAAAUGCGUAGAUAUAUGGAGGAACACCGGUGGCGAAAGCGGCUCUCUGGCUUGUAACUGACGCUGAGGCUCGAAAGCGUGGGGAGCAAACAGGAUUAGAUACCCUGGUAGUCCACGCCGUAAACGAUGAGUGCUAGGUGUUAGACCCUUUCCGGGGUUUAGUGCCGCAGCUAACGCAUUAAGCACUCCGCCUGGGGAGUACGACCGCAAGGUUG
rnacentral:rRNA from 1 species